CCGGUGAAGUGUUCGGAUUGCGGCGACGUGGGCGGUUCGCUGCUCGCGACGUUGUGAGAAAUCCACUGAACCUUAUCAUUUAGAGGAAGGAGAAGUCGUAACAAGGUUUCCGUAGGUGAACCUGCGGAAGGAUCAUUG
rnacentral:rRNA from 1 species